rnacentral:rRNA from 1 species
UACGUAGGGAGCAAGCGUUGUCCGGAAUCAUUGGGCGUAAAGCGCGCGUAGGCGGCCCGAUAAGUCCGCUGUGAAAGUCAACGGCUCAACUGUUGAAAGCCGGUGGAUACUGUCGGGCUAGAGUACGGAAGAGGCAAGUGGAAUUCCUGGUGUAGCGGUGGAAUGCGCAGAUAUCAGGAGGAACACCUAUAGCGAAGGCAGCUUGCUGGGACGUUACUGACGCUGAGGAGCGAAAGCGUGGGGAGCGAACAGG